UCUUGAUGUUGAAUGUGGAAAUAGUGCAGAAAUUCUCAAAUGAUAACGAUUGGCUUUACUGUGAUAAUUUUAAUCGAGAAUUAAGAAAAAUUAGAGAAAUGCAAAUUUAGUGACAACAUGAAACCAUUUAUGAAGUGCCUUGUCGUGACGCUCCGAAAAUCUACACAGAAAAUAAGUAAAAAACUGCCAGAUUUGAGUCAAGUGGACAAUGCUAGUCUGUUGGCGAAAGGCUGCUUUGGAAAGAAUCAACUAUCAUCAAUGAUCUACGUCUCUCAGUGUAUAAAAAAGCUUUUCACAACCAUGAACAUCGACAUUGUGAGAUUUUUAGAACAAAAUUUGGUCAAGAUAAGAUCUACAUUCUCUUUUG
rnacentral:sRNA from 1 species